GAGAACAAAGAAAGUUUGAAAUAAAGAAGGACGAGGAUCAGUUGGGAUAAGACGACAUAAUAAAGUAAAACUAAUAAUCAUCCGAAUAGAGUUCGGAGCCAGUUGAGUAGAACAAAGACUGUAAUAGUCAAGAAGAUUCCGAACGAACUCUGAAAUCAAAAAUCGAAGACUGGCUUGAAGGUCCUCGACAUAAAAUGCAACC
rnacentral:lncRNA from 1 species